rnacentral:lncRNA from 1 species
GAUUGUACCCGAAGAUCGGGAAUAAGAGUAUAUCGAACUCCUAGUACUGUGAGUACCCUUAUUAUCAUUUUAAUUAUCUAAGAUAUGUUUUAAUUUGGUUUUGGUGAAAUUUUAUGAAAAUGAGUUAAAUGGCAAAUUUUAGGUUUUAUAAACAAAAAUAAGUUUAAAUAAAAAGAUUUUAUAAAUUGUUUUGGAAAUUGAAUGAUGAUUUUGAAAAUAGAGUAAUUGGAAACCACUGAUAUGUUGUAAAUUUAAGAUUGAAUUGAUGGCUUAUGUUAUUCUGUUAGCAUGACUGAUUGGGCUGUGUUUUAUGAAUUGUAUGAAUUGUUUUAUUUUACCCUUGCAGGCUUGGUAGUAAUAUAUUAGCCCUGUCAUGCUAUCAAAAUUUUAUUGUAUAGUGGGUUUAGCUUACUGCAGUAGGCGGGUUUCAGUGGACUAGCCUAUUAGAGGGGCACGGUAAACCCUGUUAUAUUUUACCUCGGUUGGAGAGGCGAGUAGGGUAACUCCCGAGGUAUGAUUUUAGAGUUCACUUCAUGCCAAACCACCACGUGAAGGUGAGCUCGGCCAACGCCAAGGAACGACUAUAUUUUCAAAAUGAAAACAUGUUUUAUGCGUACAUUACUUUCUAAUAUCCUUGGCGGACUCAGUUGGGAUAGCCCUUGGCCAAGGUAUCCCAGAUAACUGAGUGUGAUAACAAUUUUUGGCAUGAGCCAAGCUUUUAAAGAAAUUCAUAAGCCAUAUUGAUUACUUGAUUUAAAUAAUUUGAUUUCAUUUUGUUGAAAUAAGUUGAAAAAUGAUAAAUUACAAUUUGAUGAAAUGUUUUAAUAGUCUCCUUUUACUCGUCUUUAGAUAUUUUAAAUGAUAUUUGUUUACUCACUAGGAUUUUAUAAUCUCAACCACCUUCCUUUCCACCCAUUUCAGGCAUCAGGAUAGUCGGUAAAUAGCUCAUUUCAUCGAGGACUACAAUUGGAUUGGCAUCCUCAAAAUAUGUAGGUUCAAUUCUUUUGAUACUUUUAGUCAUUCGUGGGCUCGCGUGUCACUGUAAAUUUAAUUUUAUACUUUGGUUAUCUAUAUUACAAUAUAUAUAAAUUUAUUUUGCUUUUUCGUUGUAAAAAUUAUUUACCCAG